AUCCACUGAUGAAGUUAAAACUUUCCUGAUCCACUUACUUCUCUAGGCCCCACCUCCCAAGAUUGCUGCCUUAGGGGUCAAGUCCUCAACAUAUGAAUCUUUGAGGGGGACACUCCAUAUUUAAACCACAGCCUAGAGCAUAAAUGAGGAUUGAAGUCUGAACUUCACCUUGGUUAGCUCUUCAUGUGGCUCUUCUUCACUUCCAACUCAUACAUCCACCCAGAAGAUCCUGAAAAGAGUUUCUAAUUUGAUUUGAUGCCUGAAUCACUGAAUAAAAUGGAAAAGGUCCAGUGGCUUCUCUUCCACACCAGUAUCCAGAGGCCUCCUGUGACAUGGGACAGUGAAGGAGGUACUAGAGUAGAAUCGAGAGGAUACACAACACCAGCCUCACCCCCAGGGGCAGGAAAAGGUGCCUUUGGUUGAAGAAUAGUGAGAGUGAAGGGAGAUGGAAUGGAAGACUAGGAAGUGGACUACAUCAUUUUCUUACAUUUCGUUCUAGGAAGACCUUUAUAUAAAUCACCAAACCAAGCCAAACUAAACAGUAAAACACCUCAAGGAAAUCUCACUGAGACUUUAUUUGAAGUUUGGUAUGUGACAAUGUGAAACUUCUAGACAGUUUUAAAGUUCUGAAUUGCACUUUUUUAUGUCCUUA
rnacentral:lncRNA from 1 species